CAGUAGCCGCGGUAAUAAAGAGGGUGCGAGCGUUAAUCGGAUUUACUGGGCGUAAAGCGUGCGUAGGCGGCUUCUUAAGUCGGAUGUGAAAUCCCUGAGCUUAACUUAGGAAUUGCAUUCGAUACUGGGAAGCUAGAGUAUGGGAGAGGAUGGUAGAAUUCCAGGUGUAGCGGUGAAAUGCGUAGAGAUCUGGAGGAAUACCGAUGGCGAAGGCAGCCAUCUGGCCUAAUACUGACGCUGAGGUACGAAAGCAUGGGGAGCAAACAGGAUUAGAUACCCCCGUAGUCCCUGUCUCUUAUAC
rnacentral:rRNA from 1 species